AGUGAACGCUGGCGGCGUGCCUAAUACAUGCAAGUCGAACGGAGAUUAAGUAGCUUGCUAUUUAAUCUUAGUGGCGCACGGGUGAGUAAUAUAUAGCUAACUUGCCCAUUACUAAGGGACAACAGUUGGAAACGACUGCUAAUACCUUAUACUCCGUAUCUAUAUAAGUAGAUACGGGAAAGUUUUUCGGUAAUGGAUAGGGCUAUAUCGUAUCAGCUAGUUGGUAAGGUAAUGGCUUACCAAGGCUAUGACGCGUAACUGGUCUGAGAGGAUGAUCAGUCACACUGGAACUGAGACACGGUCCAGACUCCUACGGGAGGCAGCAGUAGGGAAUAUUGCUCAAUGGGGGAAACACUGAAGCAGCAACGCCGCGUGGAGGAUGACACUUUUCGGAGCGUAAACUCCUUUUCUUGGGAAAGAAUUAUGACGGUACCCAAGGAAUAAGCACCGGCUAACUCCGUG
rnacentral:rRNA from 1 species